rnacentral:rRNA from 1 species
UAGGGAAUCUUCCACAAUGGGCGCAAGCCUGAUGGAGCAACACCGCGUGAGUGAAGAAGGGUUUCGGCUCGUAAAGCUCCGUUGUUGGAGAAGAACGUGCGUGAGAGUAACUGUUCACGCAGUGACGGUAUCCAACCAGAAAGUCACGGCUAACUACGUGCC